UUAUUUUAGUGAGUUCGGUUAAGUCGCAGUCCAUUAGAGUCUUUGUUUUAGUUGCUGAUCAUUUAUCCUUCGCGUGUUCUUUGUGCCUCUUUUAUAUCUAAAAAUUCCCACAAAAAAAUCUCUAUAGCCUAUAUCAUCCUUUGUGUUAACUUUGAUCCUAUCUAGCUAUUGGUUGUUGUUUUAUUUCUGUCUUUAGUUGUGUAAGUAUCAUAAUCUGAUCCUUGUUUUUUUAGUUCUAUAUAUAAAAAAAGUGUGUCAAAACAAAGAAAAGAAAGUGCAAAAAAAAAUUGAAGUGAAAAAAAAGUUGAGAAAGGUUCAGAGAGAA
rnacentral:lncRNA from 1 species